rnacentral:rRNA from 1 species
CGUAACAAGGUCUCCGUAGGUGAACCUGCGGAGGGAUCAUUACACAAAUAUGAAGGCGGGCUGGAACCUCUCGGGGUUACAGCCUUGCUGAAUUAUUCACCCUUGUCUUUUGCGUACUUCUUGUUUCCUUGGUGGGUUCGCCCACCACUAGGACAAACAUAAACCUUUUGUAAUUGCAAUCAGCGUCAGUAACAAAUUAAUAAUUACAACUUUCAACAACGGAUCUCUUGGCUCUGGCAUCGAUGAAGAACGCAGCGAAAUGCGAUAAGUAGUGUGAAUUGCAGAAUUCAGUGAAUCAUCGAAUCUUUGAACGCACAUUGCGCCCUUUGGUAUUCCAAAGGGCAUGCCUGUUCGAGCGUCAUUUGUACCCUCAAGCUUUGCUUGGUGUUGGGCGUCUUGUCUCUAGCUUUGCUGGAGACUCGCCUUAAAGUAAUUGGCAGCCGGCCUACUGGUUUCGGAGCGCAGCACAAGUCGCACUCUCUAUCAGCAAAGGUCUAGCAUCCAUUAAGCCUUUUUUUCAACUUUUGACCUUGGAUCAGGUAGGGAUACCCGCUGAACCUAAGCAUAUCA